rnacentral:lncRNA from 10 species
UUUAAUAAUCAUCACUUCUUGUCACAUAAAGGCUGUGACUCCAGAGUUUGUUGCAGAAGAAGUGUUGUGAAAGAAAUAAUUAAUAUGAUGGGUUUCGAAUGCUGUGCUCCUUGAGAAGGUCGCUCACUCUCUGAGCUGGUCUAUUCAUCUGAGUAAUGGGUCGCUGAGGGGCAAGGCCAAGGAGAAGGAAAGGAACUCCUCUGCAUGUCACUCUCUGACUCCUUAGUCCUUCCUCUCCUUUUUUUCUGAAAUGAGGUCCAUUUCCAAAGCUCUGCAACCUGGGGCCUGUGGAAACUUAAGAUCACUUGUGAGUUCCUAGAUACUACAUGCAGAAUUUGGCAUCUAUGAGCAUGUAGAAGUGGAUAAUUUUUGACAGUCUUCAAUAUAUUCUUGUUUAUAUAAUAUUCUUAAGUAUAUUCCUAAAAAUAAUUAAGAACCAUAAGCUGUGCUAGGGAAGUGGGCUCAUGGCCUUAUGUUAGUCUACUUGAAUAAAAAGACAGUCAAUGAGGUCAGUUUUCAGGUUUGGGUAUUUUGAUUACCUUUCCCCUUAGUUGUUUUAAAUGAGCAAAGGAGUAAUGGGGUUUUCCACCACAUAACAGAAUAUCUAUGAGUCAUCAGUGUCCUGAGAAGCUAAACGUCCUACUAAGGAUCCUGCAAAGGGAAAACAGAAGAGGAACUUGCACUUUUUGAGAACUUGCUGUGUGCCAUAAGCCUAAGUCCCUAUGUGGGAAGGAUUCUACCCACACAUGACAGAGGAGGAGACUGAAGCAUGAAAAAGAAAUGGCGUUUUGCUGGAGAAAGCAGCAUAGCGGAAUGUAAAGCGGUAAAGCGUGUAUGCUCUGGAGCCACAGACCUAGAUGGUGAAGUCUAGCUCUGGUACUUGACAGAUCCCAUUCUCCAUCAUCUCCACCCUGCUCUGUGACCCAGUCGGCUGCUCUGCUUGAACGACAUCAACAAGCUUCCUGCAUCCUCAUGUCUAGCUGAACUCAACCAGUGGGAAGUACCAGCAGGAGAUCAAAAGAAAGGAGCAAAGUACAGUCAAGAUGUUUAUUUAUUUCUCUGUUCUUUUCUGCCAAAGGUACACAAAAUCAGACACUAGUUAAAGGCAUUCAGGACAGAUUUUAUAUGGUAAUAACUAUCGCAAUGGAGUAGAGAGUCCAGUGUGAACUGAACUUCACCAAAACAAAAAGCUGGAGUCUUUUUAAAGGCUGGGGUAUGCUAGGGGAAAGGCACUGACAGGAAGAAGAACAGGGCUUGGUCCAUGGGCUUAGGCCAUCUGAGUCUGUUAACUGGUGUUUAUCAAAGUUGGGUUCCUGAUCCCUGCAGAGACUAGGAGACAAGGGCCCUAUCUUCAGGUGCUGGCUGGAACAAAUAGUAAAUUCUUUUGGCAGGCUUUCCCAGGCAGGAACCUAAGGGGACUGGAAUCAUAAUCCUAGGGAUGUGACCUUGAGCUGUUAGACUAUGCUAGGGUUUACAUCUCUUCGUGCAGAGGAUUGGAUGGAGUCCUUAAGGGUCAAGACAGUUCUCUUUUCAGUUCUCAUUUCCCUAACAGGUCCACUGUGGGAUGGCUGCUUCUCUUGACCCAUGGUUUCAGCUCCUGACAGGUAGCCACUCCAUGCAGCCCUUCUCUCAUUGGGUUCUGGUGACCAUCCUCUCCUCUUGCCUCUUUGGGUAUAACAGUGGAUAGUGAUACUCUUGAUAAUAAUACUAUUCCUCAUGGUUUUCCUAUACUGUGACCACACUUUUGUAAAGAGUGAUUUAAUAAAUAUGCAGUAACUGUGGUUCUCAAUGUUCUCCCAUAUCUCUUGAAGCAUUUUGGCAUGCUUUGGUUGACUUACAACUGCUGCACCUGCAUCCUGUGCCUGCAAACAUUUUCUGGAACCUUGGAAGUCUCCUUUGCCCACAACUCUAGGAGGCCAGCUGUGCUGGGAAACUAACAUCCUCCACCCAUGAGCAGAUCUCCAACAAUGGCUCUCAGGAGUUGGUGAAUGAAUACCCAGCUCCCUCAUCCUUGGGUGGUAUCAUGCUAAGGCAUGUGUUUUCAACAACUAUGCACAGAGUUUUCCUAGGUAAUAAACUCUAGUCACCCAUUCUCAGUUAUCUAUUCUUGCCUAACAAACCAACCUAAACUUAGACUGACUUAAUACAAUAAACAUUUUAUUUGCUUAUAGUUCUGUGGAUCCGCAAUUUUGGUUGGGUACAGCUGGGUGCUUCUUCUACUGAUCUCAUCUGGGAUUAGUCAUUUGGCUACAUCACUUGGGGGAUCAAGUGGCAGCAGGUUUCUCUAGAGGACCUCAGGUUCCACAUGGUGUCAUCCUCUGGGAGGCUAGUGUGGGCUUCUUCCCAGGGUCAUCUCAGAACAUUUCUAAGAGGACUAGUAAAUAAACAGCAAGACCUCUUGAGGACUAGCCCCGAUAUCACUUCCACUAUGUUCUGUUGAUCAAAGCAAAUCACAAAGCCAGACAAGAUUCAAGGGUUAGGGAAAUAGUCUUGCUCUUCAGAAUUCACAAUCAUUUUCAAUCUACCAUACACACUAGGACAGCUGCCUUUCCUCUCCCAUUAGAGGAUAGCAGUAGGAUAGUUGCCUUUCCUCCCCAAUACAGAGGAAAGCUGUACUUUCCUCUGUCACACCCCCAUUCCCCUACUAGCAACCUCUUCACCUUCCAAAUAAGAAGUUGCACUAAAAUUCUUGUCUCAACGUCUGGGUGAACCUAAACUCUCUUAAAAUUAUUUUAAUUUCAGUGAUUCAUUUGUUUAUUGCUGAUAUAGAAUGGUAUUAGAUAUUAUCAUACAAUUUAGUGCAAGGCUUGAAAAGGGCACAGGGUUUUAGGAAUCCCCAUAUAAUGUUGCCAGUAAGAGGUGAGGGUGUCUCACUGUGAUAAAUAUUACUAGUGCCCAUCCAAAUUUCUGAUGAUUUUUCCCUUCCAUUUGUGCAAGAGAAUUAUGCUUCCCACACCCCUUGAAGUUAAACAUGGCCAUAUGGUUUGCUUUGGCCAAUAAACCAUGGGUGGAUGUGGUACAGUGUACGUAUGCUUGCCUCAAGAAAGAGGGCAUAGGCCGGGUGCGGUGGCUCAUGUCUGUAAUCCCAGCACUUUGGGAGGCCAAGGUGGGUGGAUCACCUGAGGUCAGGAGUUUGAGACCAUCCUGACCAACAUGGAGAAACCCCAUCUCUACUAAAAAUACAAAAUGAGCCAGGCAUGGUGGCGAACGCCUGUAAUUCCAGCUACUUGGGAGGCUGAGGCAGGAGAGUUGCAUGAACCUGGGAGGCAGAGCUUGCAGUGAGCCGAGAUGGCGCCAUUGCACUCCAG